GACUCUCGGCAACGGAUAUCUCGGCUCUCGCAUUGGUGAAGAACGCAGCGAAAUGCGAUACUUGGUGUGAAUUGCAGAAUCCCGCGAACGGGGAGCGAUUCUGCGCUUCAAGAGGUCAGUUUAUUGAUUUGUUCGAUAAUAUUUUU
rnacentral:rRNA from 1 species